GGUCACUACAAGUUUGAAGCCAGCCUGGGCUACAUGGAAGGUUCUAAGCUAGCCUGGGCUAUAGAGUAAGACCUCAUCUUUAAAAAAUAAAUAAAUAAUAAAAGACAAGAGAAGAAAAGGUGCUCAAACACCUCAGCUGAGCAACAGAGGCUGUGGAGUCUAUCGGCGAGCAUCUGGCCAGGGCCGUUGCCAGCAUGGCUGACCGUGUGGUGCCAAGAGCAGCUGCCAGGGGACUCUUCCGAAAAGUCCCUAUGGUGUCUAAUGGGUUUGGGGAGACCCUUGAGCCAGCUGUGGGACAUCAACAGGCUCCUCCCUGUCUGCCUCUCUGCAUCAUCUACUCCUCUGGGUCCCUCUGAGACUCCAGCAAGAUUUUGAGCUUUUGCAAGUGACAGGAUCCGGAAGUUGUGAAGAAUUACCACAACACAGGAGAAAGAGCCUAAUACAGUGAAGAUAAAUAUGCACGGUAAAUUAAAGUUCUUGAGCAAGUCUGCCAAGCCUGGCAUAUGGAGAAGACCUCAAAGAAACUUACCCUUCCAUCUGGAGUCCUGGGACCAGAGUAGGCUGGGGCCUCGCCCAUCAGAACUGGCCACACAUCAAAAAAUUCCUAGGGGUUAAAAAAAAAAAAGAAAAC
rnacentral:lncRNA from 1 species